rnacentral:lncRNA from 1 species
CAACCAAUUAUUUCUGAAAUAGAAAGCUUAGCAGAAAUUCCUGUUCAAAAUAACUUGGUCCAGUGUAGAAGAAAAAAAUAAUGAAAAUGUUUCUAACAUGUCAUCUUUAUUGUAUAAUGCUGCUUUUCUUGGCCCAAAACGAUCAACGUUCAGGAAUAACAAAAGUAAAUUCCGAAAAGUUAAAAAACCCUACUAUAAUAAUGAAUGUGAAGCACAAUUUAGAGCUUUAAAACACCAUACUAGGAAAUUGUGUAAAGAACCAUGGAAUAAACAACUAAGAUUAGAAGUUAUGUCCCAAAAAAAGGUACUUAAUAAAUUAAUAAGGA